rnacentral:rRNA from 1 species
CACGUAGGGCGCGAGCGUUGUCCGGAAUUAUUGGGCGUAAAGAGCUCGUAGGCGGCCUGUUGCGUCCGCUGUGAAAGCCCGGGGCUUAACCCCGGGUCGGCAGUGGAUACGGGCAGGCUAGAGGUAGGUAGGGGAGAAUGGAAUUCCCGGUGUAGCGGUGAAAUGCGUAGAUAUCAGGAGGAACACCUGUGGCGAAAGCGGCUCACUGGACCAUAACUGACGCUGAUGCACGAAAGCUAGGGGAGCAAACAGG